GAUGAACGCUGGCGGCGUGCUUAACACAUGCAAGUCGAACGGAAAGGCUCCUGCUUGCAGGGGUACUCGAGUGGCGAACGGGUGAGUAACACGUGGGUGAUCUGCCCUGCACUUCGGGAUAAGCCUGGGAAACUGGGUCUAAUACCGGAUAGGACCACAUUUUGGAUGGUGUGGUGGAAAGUUUUUCGGUGUGGGAUGAGCUCGCGGCCUAUCAGCUUGUUGGUGGGGUAAUGGCCUACCAAGGCGUCGACGGGUAGCCGGCCUGAGAGGGUGUACGGCCACAUUGGGACUGAGAUACGGCCCAGACUCCUACGGGAGGCAGCAGUGGGGAAUAUUGCACGAUGGGCGCAAGCCUGAUGCAGCGACGCCGCGUGGGGGAUGACGGCCUUCGGGUUGUAAACUCCUUUCGCUAGGGACGAAGCGUUUUUGUGACGGUACCUGGAGAAGAAGCACCGGCUAACUACGUG
rnacentral:rRNA from 1 species